AAAACUUUCAACAACGGAUCUCUUGGCUCUGGCAUCGAUGAAGAACGCAGCGAAAUGCGAUAAGUAAUGUGAAUUGCAGAAUCUAGUGAAUCAUCGAAUCUUUGAACGCACAUUGCGCCCCUUGGUAUUCCGAGGGGCAUGCCUGUUCGAGCGU
rnacentral:rRNA from 1 species